GAGGCUAUAGCUCAGUGAUAGAGCACAUUGUCUAGCAUGCAUGAGGUCCUGGGUUCAAUCCCCAGUACCUCCA
rnacentral:tRNA from 1 species